rnacentral:rRNA from 1 species
UACGUAGGGUGCAAGCGUUGUCCGGAAUUAUUGGGCGUAAAGAGCUCGUAGGCGGUCUGUCGCGUCUGCUGUGAAAACUCGGGGCUUAACCCCGGGCCUGCAGUGGGUACGGGCAGACUAGAGUGCGGUAGGGGAGACUGGAAUUCCUGGUGUAGCGGUGAAAUGCGCAGAUAUCAGGAGGAACACCGGUGGCGAAGGCGGGUCUCUGGGCCGUAACUGACGCUGAGGAGCGAAAGCAUGGGGAGCGAACAGGAUUAGAUACCCCCGUAGUCC